GCCAAGAACAUGCUGGCUACAAGUCAGCACAGGAAAGAAACUGAUAGAAAAUGCACUGGCCAUACCUAUUAUACAUGGUAGCAUGAACAACUUACAUGUGGGAAACAAUGGUGUUGAAGAUAGUUGUUUCCAAUCCAAAUGCCGUUGAAUUGCCUCAGUUUUGGAAAUUCGAUCCGAGAACGUUUUGUUUAAGGCUUCUGGGACUUUUUCCUUAUACUUCUUAAAUAUGUUGUCCAUGGAUUCCUCACAACUAAGAACCAUGACAUUUUUGAUUUCAUUAACAUAGUCUGGAAAAAUGACAAGUGGUUAGAUGUGUAAGUCAAGAGUACCAAUGCAUACAUGCUAAACUUACAAUAUGAUGGUGCUGAAGAAACAGUUCUUACUACUUCAUCCCCUGAUUUAAAUUUUGGGAACAAGUAAAAAAGCCUUGGCAGAUAGAGAACAGUGAUUACAAGUUACCUGCAAUAUGUACCAAGCCAAGAAAAGUGGGUCAUCUUUGGAUGCCAACCAUUUAAUGUUGAAUGAAAACCUUCGAGACAACUAGUUUGUGCUUCUGAAGAUAGUUUUUUAACAUCUUUGAGAACAGAUUUUUUCAACAGAAUGGAGGAAAGUCGCUGAUAUGAUUUAGUUCCUUAAAAAGAAUACAAUCCCAUCUGAAAAGUGCCUUUAAUAUUGUUUUGGAAAGUCCUUUGCAAACAUGCCACAAAUCAUUGAAGUGCUGGGUUUCCUUCUCAGAUGUUCGAAUCCACUUUGCAAUCCCUUUGUGACGAUCGCUAAUAAAUAUUGAAAUUUGUAGUCCACUAUCUUGAAGAAACUUGAAGCAUCUUUGAGCUCCAUCCAACUCCAUGGCAUUGCUACUACCAGACUGAUUUGACUAUACGAAAGGUAAUGAAGUUUAUGUAAAAACUAUAAUAUUAUUUUUGAGGUCUUGUUCAAGUAAAAUCAACUGAUUAUCUUAAAUGUACAUGAAAAUAUUUGUUUAUUAGUUGAAAAAAAUAUUAUGACUACCUGUCUGAUGUCAAAAUGAA